GCCUGGUUAGCUGAGUUGGUAGGGCACUAGACUGCAGAGCGGGAGGUCGCGGGUUCAAAUCCCGGCUGGACCAAACCAGGGU
rnacentral:tRNA from 1 species